rnacentral:rRNA from 1 species
UUAGAGUUUGAUCCUGGCUCAGGACGACCUCUGGCGGCGUGCCUAACACAUGCAAGUCGAGCGAAUGAAGUUCCUUCGGGAAUGAAUUUAGCGGCGGACGGGUGAGUAACACGUGGGCAACCUGCCUCAUAGAGGGGAAUAGCCUUCCGAAAGGGAGAUUAAUACCGCAUAAGAUUGUAGUACCGCAUGGUACAGCAAUUAAAGGAGCAAUCCGCUAUGAGAUGGGCCCGCGGCGCAUUAGCUAGUUGGUGAGGUAACGGCUCACCAAGGCGACGAUGCGUAGCCGACCUGAGAGGGUGAUCGGCCACAUUGGGACUGAGACACGGCCCACACUCCUACGGGAGGCAGCAGUGGGGAAUAUUGCACAGUGGGGGAAACCCUGAUGCAGCAACGCCGCGUGAGUGAUGACGGCCUUCGGGUUGUAAAGCUCUGUCUUCAGGGACGAUAAUGACGGUACCUGAGGAGGAAGCCACGGCUAACUACGUGCCAGCAGCCGCGGUAAUACGUAGGUGGCGAGCGUUGUCCGGAUUUACUGGGCGUAAAGGGAGCGUAGGCGGAUUUUUAAGUGAGAUGUGAAAUACUCGGGCUUAACCUGAGUGCUGCAUUUCAAACUGGAAGUCUAGAGUGCAGGAGAGGAGAAGGGAAUUCCUAGUGUAGCGGUGAAAUGCGUAGAGAUUAGGAAGAACACCAGUGGCGAAGGCGCUUCUCUGGACUGUAACUGACGCUGAGGCUCGAAAGCGUGGGGAGCAAACAGGAUUAGAUACCCCGGUAGUCCACGCCGUAAACGAGGAAUACUAGGUGUAGGGGUUGUCAUGACUUCUGUGCCGCCGCUAACGCAUUAAGUAUUCCGCCUGGGGAGUACGGUCGCAAGAUUAAAACUCAAAGGAAUUGACGGGGGCCCGCACAAGCAGCGGAGCAUGUGGUUUAAUUCGAAGCAACGCGAAGAACCUUACCUAGACUUGACAUCUCCCGCAUUACUCUUAAUCGAGGAAGUCCCUUCGGGGACAGGAUGACUGGUGGUGCAUGGUUGUCGUCAGCUCGUGUCGUGAGAUGUUGGGUUAAGUCCCGCAACGAGCGCAACCCUUAUUGUUAGUUGCCAUCAUUAAGUUGGGCACUCUAGCGAGACUGCCCGGGUUAACCGGGAGGAAGGUGGGGAUGACGUCAAAUCAUCAUGCCCCUUAUGUCUAGGGCUACACACGUGCUACAAUGGUCGGUACAAUAAGACGCAAGCCCGCGAGGGGGAGCAAAACUGGAAAACCGAUCUCAGUUCGGAUUGUAGGCUGAAACUCGCCUACAUGAAGCUGGAGUUGCUAGUAAUCGCGAAUCAGCAUGUCGCGGUGAAUACGUUCCCGGGCCUUGUACUAACCGCUCGUCA